UGCGUAGGCGGUAUAACAAGUUGGUAGCGUAAUUCCAUGGCUCAACCGUGGAACUACUACCAAAACUGUUAAACUCGAGUGCGGCAGGGGUAUGUGGAAUUCCUAGUGUAGCGGUGGAAUGCGUAGAUAUUAGGAGGAACACCAGAGGCGAAAGCGACAUACUGGGCCGUAACUGACGCUGAGGCACGAAAGCGUGGGGAGCAAACAG
rnacentral:rRNA from 1 species